UGUGGGAGCGGGCUUGCUCGCGAUCGGGCCAACGCGAUCCUGUUGAUACACCGGGUAACCCUCAUCGCGAGCAAGCCCGCUCCCACA
rnacentral:misc_RNA from 1 species